rnacentral:rRNA from 1 species
GACGAACGCUGGCGGCGUGCUUAACACAUGCAAGUCGAACGGGAAGGCCUGCUUUCCCUUGUGGAUUGCGGGUACUCGAGUGGCGAACGGGUGAGUAACACGUGAGUGAUCUGCCCCCAACUUGGGUAUAAGCCUGGGAAACUGGGUCUAAUUCCCGAUAGGACUGCAGGGUGGUGCCUGUGGUGGAAAACGAUUUUCUAGUGGUUGGGGAUGAGCUCGCGGCCUAUCAGCUUGUUGGUGGGGUAAUGGCCUACCAAGGCGGCGACGGGUAGCCGGCCUGAGAGGGUGGACAGCCACAUUGGGACUGAGAUACGGCCCAGACUCCUACGGGAGGCAGCAGUGGGGAAUAUUGCACAAUGGGCGGAAGCCUGAUGCAGCGACGCCGCGUGGGGGAUGACGGCCUUCGGGUUGUAAACUCCUUUCGACCGCGAGGAAGCCACCUGGUUGGAAGGGUGGUGACGGUAGUGGUAGAAGAAGCACCGGCUAACUACGUG